AGUUUGCGGAAGAGCUGGAACCCUGCGCUCUGCUAUGUAAACCACCUACAGAAAAGGCAGAGGUCAGCGUGGGAAAAGAAGGGGCGCCUUGGGCCCAGAGUGACAACAAAAGUCAGCGCUUCCAGGCAUCUCAAGACGAAAAUCUAGGGACCUCAACGGACUCAAACCUAAACCAAUCGCCGGUUUUGCCGUCACUGCUGUGUUCUCUCGGCUGUUGUCUGGGACGAUGAGCAUGAAGAAGGAAAUCCUCUCUGGAACGGCAGUUGCUCACGCUGCCCUUGGCAUACUUGUGGGACUUCCUAGUGAUGCCACAGGGGCCUCGGGGUCACCGAAGAAGGCUGUGGGGCCGGACUCCAGCAGUGUCUUUUCCUGUUACGUAAAUCAGGGUUAAAUGUACUGUAUGUUCGAAGAAAGGGCUCUGGUGAAAAACAAAUUUUGAAAAUAAUUGAUAGAGGGAAUCUUUACUGCAAUGCCUUGAAAUAUCCAGAUAAACGAAGGGAUUUUUUUUUUUUUAUUUAA